rnacentral:rRNA from 1 species
UACGUAGGUGGCAAGCGUUGUCAGGAAUUAUUGGGCGUAAAGCGCGCGCAGGCGGUCCUUUAAGUCUGAUGUGAAAGCCCACGGCUCAACCGUGGAGGGUCAUUGGAAACUGGGGGACUUGAGUACAGAAGAGGAAAGCGGAAUUCCACGUGUAGCGGUGAAAUGCGUAGAGAUGUGGAGGAACACCAGUGGCGAAGGCGGCUUUCUGGUCUGUAACUGACGCUGAGGCGCGAAAGCGUGGGGAGCAAACAGG